CGCGGGGUGGAGCAGUCUGGUAGCUCGUCGGGCUCAUAACCCGGAGGUCGCUGGUUCAAAUCCAGCCCCCGCAACCA
rnacentral:tRNA from 3 species